ACGGAAAAAAAAACCAAGAUAUUAUUUUGCAAAAUACACAUGGCUCACUGUAUAUUCAACCAAGCCCCAAAGCGAAGCACAGACUACACACAGCUACACCAUCACCAUUCCCCAAACAGAACCAUCGGGAAGGUUUGAAAACAAUGACUUAUAAUGCUAACAAAGAGAAUGGAGUAAUUGAAGGAAUUAAUAGUUUUCACAAUCUCUUUUCCUAAUAUUUACACUUUAUAAUAGGCAGAUUUUAUCAUCAGAAAUCAUUUUCUUGCUUUGAUAAACGUGUACCAAAUACUAUUAGAAUACCCAAUGUUGCGACUUAACAUAUAUUACAGUUGCCAUGGAAACUACAAACUUUGCUUAAUGGAUAUUAUCAAAAUGGAAGUAAGUAUAUUAAUGAGCCUACACUGAUAUGAAUGGAAACUUGAAUGAAACCUAGAAAAAUAUACAGUAACAUCAGAGCCCUCUAGGCAGGUGGGGCUCUCGUUUCCUUCCUUUUCCUUUUCAGGGUUUUCCCUUUCUAAAAAUAAUUCAGGGUACAUUUUAAUUGGAAUAUCCACAAUACAUUUCCUAUGUAUUUUUUUUUAAAAACUCAUAGCAAUUAUAUAAAAAAUAAUUCACACAUCCUAAAUUAUAUCCUAGGUAUUUUUAUACAAUUACAUUUCUUUUUAAAGGUGAGGCUUAGGUGGGAAUCACAGGAUUUAACAAAUAAAAUAAAAAAGAAGAUAAAGAUAGCAGGUAUUAUAACUGUCCAAGAGAAAAUGAUGCCCACUCAUCCUCAACAAGAUAGAGAGGCUGGUGCCACACAGCACGGAGGCAGCAUAAGAAGGAAUGUCCUAUUUGACACAAAGUUCUUUAACCACGGCCUCAGUACAUUUUUUCUGAGUCCACGGCAAAUUCUACAAAGUCAGUGUCCUUUCCCACAACCACCCAAACCUACAGUCCAAACACAGCUAACCAUGGAACGAGGUAAUUACUUUUCUCAGCCUUUGGCUAUAAUCUAAUAAAGAAGCAGGACUAGGCACAGAAAUCUAAAAAGAAAAAGAAAAGUCAAUGCACAAGUAAAAUGGGCACUAGGUAAGAAUACCAGAUUUGGGGGGCAGGGGUGAGGGAGUCAGUGUGGAAGGUACCAGAAAGGGCUUCACAGAUGGACAAAAACACUACACAGACAGUGCAACCAGAAGACCAUCCAGGAGCCCAGCAGGAAGGAGAAACACAAGCUGCACUACACAUCUACCAGCUCUUGGAGACUCUAAAAUCACUCAUGUUCCAAAAAGAUAAAAGGAUGCAAAGAAGCCAGAUGUGGUUUGGAAGCAGGGUUCGUGGACAGUGUCCAUGAUGAAAACAAGGAGGCAGUCAGUACAGGCAGGCACAGAGAGAACGGGUUCUGGGAACCCUUGGCUGGAACAAGCAAGCUCUCACUAAUUCUCCCUCCAUCUGUCCCACGCAUGUGACUCAGCGUGUCUGUCCCUAGGACCACAGACAAUGGUCUACACAAAGCCGGAUUCUGGGCAGGGAACACUCCGAGUCUGAAAGAGGGUGUAUCAGCUAGCAGUGCUGGCACAGGCAACACACUGAGCACAUCUAUCCUCAGCAUGAGAUGAGAACCAAAGGAGAAAACCCAGAUCCAAUCCCUGGUAGCUAAGUGUCUGCUACCUGGCAGCUGACCAAUAAUACACAGAAGCCGUCAGCAAUAUAUAUGAAAGGUAAGUUUGGCCUGCGGAGGCUGACAUUGGUACCAAGAAGUGACAAAACCCUCUCACCUAUGUCGGAACAAACAAAAUUUUGUGAGGUGGGGGGCAAAGAAUGAGUAAUGAUGCCGGUAUUUUUGUUAUUAUACAAAAAUACUUUUGGAUCACAAUUAAACUUCUUUAUCAGUCCAGAGCAGCAAAAUGGUCAACCAAAAAGUUAUGUCUCUCUUUCGUUAUUUAUAAUUUCUUUUUCUUAUAUUUGAUAGGAACAUUGUUGCAGAUUUCUUUAGAUGGUUUCUGGCUUCCCCUCCGGAUUGCUUUAUAACAGGUCCAUAUGUCCCACAGGACGGGCUUCCUACCUUUACUGUAUGCUGCCUCACAUCCCUCUGAAGUAUGGCUGGGUAUAAAUCAUAAGUGUUACAUAUGUAUACUAAAAUGGGACACUGUCACAUUUCACACAGGUCAUUUAAAGUUCUUAGAAGCUUCCAGAAGCACUAGAGCAGAGUAUAUAAGAAGCCACAAGGGUAGGAUAACUGAUAAUAAGGGUAAGAAAACCACAACUAUUAUCCUAAGGACUUCCCACUUGACUCAAGCACUGAUGAUAUAGAACAAGGCCAAAUCUAAUUACAAUUCCAACAUCUUUAAAAAGAAAAACACAAAACCCUAAAUAGAGGCAGCAAUAUAAUUUCAGGAGGAAAAAAAAAAAAAACCCAUGGUAUGUGAAAUUAAAACAGGGUGGGAGAGUUUUCAGGAUACAUUUGAGUACUUUAAUGGCUUUCAGAUACAGUACAGAUAGAGGAGGGAAAAGGCACCCAGCAGAAGGAAAGCACACCACAGAAGUGAAUGUUUAGGGGGAGAAAGGCUUGUUGAUGUGGAGCAAAACAAAACCACUGCUACUAAGGGAGGGAACCGUGAUGAAAACAUUCAAGCCUUUGAAGGGCUUUGGGGACAGCUACCCUGAGGACAUGAAGAGACACAGAUGGACCACUGACAAAACUGGAUGGCUAAAAGCAGAUAAAGGCAUCGAGCUGAGGGACCAGGGUAGGUGGACAACAAGACGUGGGUGGGUAGCAGUUAUAAAGGAGAGGAGGACGACUGGCAGAGGAAACCGCUGCUCCUGUCACAGGGGUAACGUUACUUAAAUAAGAUUUUUGCUUAGACUUGUGCACCAUCAGGAUACACUUUCUGUCCUGUGUGCGUUUGGUUUUCACACCUACAUUUUAACUAAGCAACUGAGCAGAGCAGAUGGUCUUCACUAGGUGUGGGGGUGGGGGUUCAACAAAAUCCUGAGGUGAGGAGGGGGAUGUGAAUAUCCCAAAAUAGUGAAUGGGGGAUGAGUGGCGGUUCAUGGCAACACACCCGCUCAGCUCUUUCUCAAAUGCCAAGCAUCAUAGAUGGCAAUAGGGGUGGGGGCGGUCUCCCUAAAACACACUUUUAAGGCAGAAACUUGGUUUCCGUUCCUCCUCUUCCGAAAAUCCUGAAAGUGAGAGGGAUAUCUGGAUCCAGCAGCUAAAGUCAGAUUAGAAGGCCUGGCACAAAGGCAUACUUAUGCAAACAAAGCUUUUGUCAGCACACUGAAUUUGCAGAUUCCUUUAAAGUUUAAUAGAAUGCACUGCUCUAAGAGGAAGAAAAAUAAUGUUUGACAAGUCUCAGAAACUUCCCCGCAAUAAGCUUUUUUUUUUUUUUUUUAGUAUAUGCAAAGGCAAAACAUACCAUAAAGGAACCAGAAUAUUCUUAAAGGAAAAGAAAACACGGGAUGCAGAGGGGUGGAAAUCCAAAACUAAGACUCAGUUUCACAGACAGACAGAGGCAGAGAAAGGAAGAAAAGAAACACAGCAACAAAGCCAGACAAGGAACAGAGAGACCUGAUCCUGCCUUUGGCACUAACGUGCCUCAGAAAUUGAAUUCUCUGGCUUGUAUCCUUAGUAGUGUAGAAGACUGAACUUGAAAAGUUUUCCAAGUUCUUCCACAUCCCAAAUUCUACAGAAAGGUGGGCGAGGGGGAAAGGGAGGAACUUAAAGGUCUAACUGCAGGGAGAAUAUAGAAUUCAUUUGCUUUACAACAAUGUUGGGGGAGGGGUAGGUUAAAAAUGUAUUUAGCUGAACUGUAUACUUUAAGACUGUGGAAGAUAAGGCCAGCCUGAACUACACAGUAGACCCUGUCUCAAAAGUUAAAGGAAAAAAACAAAAUUAAAUUGUAAAUUAUAUGCUACAUGCCUUUUUUACCACUAUUCUUAAAAAGAACGGAUAAGAAAUGAACUUAAUAAGAACUGGUAGUCACCUGGGCCAAAAUCCCCCUGGUAAUUUUCUACAGGCUGUCUUUUACUCUGUGAUCCUGGCAAAGGACAGAUCAUCAAACAGGUAACUUCAGCACUGCACUGACUCUCACACAUGCUGACCCACAGUUAAUGUGCCUGGUGGAGACUGCAUGCCCUGGGAACUACAGUAAGGCUAGAGAAUGAAAAAGGUCCCUAAAGUGGCAUCUAUACAGCAGCUCCUAAAUCCAGCUCAGACUCAGACCUGUCUCCAAAACUCCAACCUUGCUCAAGAUGGUGUAUUCUUCGGAAAUUUUCCAUGUCCCAAAACUAUGUUCUCCUUCCACAUUUCCCCAGUCACCAUGUUUUUCUGCACAACCUGUCUCCAUCUAGAGCAACACUGUCUGUAGGCUGCAUGUGGAAACUUGAAGUAAGGGUUCUUUGUUCUCUUUCUUGCAUGUUUCCCCCUCACCCUAGCUUCCGAAGUCCAUGUCAAGGGAGAAG
rnacentral:sRNA from 1 species